rnacentral:misc_RNA from 1 species
GAGUUAUUGGUGCUUUAAGGCAGAAAAUAUUUCAAAGCAGUCAUCCCCGUUUUCAUUACCGAGACUGACAACAUCAGAAGAUGAGCUGGCUUGGCUUGGAGUUUUUGAAAUGGAAGACCUGUUAGUCAGCAUUUGUUCCAUGAUUGUGAAGUAUUCCCCUUCAGACUUGGCUUGGGCCAGGAGGACUUGAGCAUGUGACUUUUGAGCUAGGAAAGUUAUAGAGCUUUGAGCAGGCUGUUUGAGUAACCAUUCUUCUACAGCUCAAGUUUGUUGCACUCAAGAAGCUGAGAGAGAAGUUGUUAUUCAAAAGCCCAAAACCCUCUCUCAAAAACAAGUUUCUCAAACUGUUUUAACUCCCAAACUUAUUCCUACAAUAGAUUUAACUUUGAAACCAAAAGAACCAGUGGUUUCACAAAAUUUUUCCCAAGACUUUGGUUCAACUUUUAACUGGAUUUUAAAAGAUUCUUAUCAAAGCAUUUUAACUGUUGAAGAUGGCUUUUAUGAUCCUAACCCUCGUUCAUGUGCAGCUAAAUUUUUUGGUUUUUGGCACUAUAAGCCAUGGGAUAGAUCUAAAGAUCCAACAUACUACCAAAGCAUCUUGAUUGAAACUGGGUCAGUCAAGAUCAAACACUUCCCAGAAAACUCCCCU